rnacentral:lncRNA from 10 species
UCUGACACGUACCAGUGAAGACUUGUAUUUGCCUUGUAGUUAACAGCAGCUGCAGUUGUAGUAAAUACAUUCCUAUAGCUUUUUAAUGCUUAUGUGGAUACAUUUACCUUCGUUAUCUCUGGGUAACACACCUGUGGGGUGGGUCAGCCUGAGGUUCAUAUUCCCAUUUGACAGAUAAGGAACCUGAGACUCGGUGAGGCAAAAUGUUUGGCUCAAUGUCCCUGACCUUGGUUAAGUGGAAGAGCUGGGACCCACGUACGGUGCUGCUGGCUGCCGGCUGCUGGCUUCAUACCACCAUGCCCACCCCACAAACACACUCCAUUGUCCUGGUGUAUGACAAGCUUUCUCUGCAGAGAGGGCUGAGCUUCCCCUGCCCCACAGGUGACAGCUGGAGUCCUUCUGCCAGCACCUGUCCCCAGACCAACUUCCCAGUUUGGAGAGUGGCUACCUGUUUGGGGGCAGGGGGUGUCUUACCUUAUUCCAGAUGCAGGGCUCACCUGCCCUGGGGGCUGUCAGUGGCUUCUAAGGCACUAGGAGGUGGCGGUGGUUGUAAGGAGGGAGAUACCCG